rnacentral:rRNA from 1 species
GAUGAACGCUGGCGGCGUGCCUAAUACAUGCAAGUCGAGCGAACGGACGAGAAGCUUGCUUCUCUGAUGUUAGCGGCGGACGGGUGAGUAACACGUGGAUAACCUACCUAUAAGACUGGGAUAACUUCGGGAAACCGGAGCUAAUACCGGAUGAUAUUUUGAACCGCAUGGUUCAAAAGUGAAAGACGGUCUUGCUGUCACUUAUAGAUGGAUCCGCGCUGCAUUAGCUAGUUGGUAAGGUAACGGCUUACCAAGGCAACGAUGCGUAGCUGACCUGAGAGGGUGAUCGGCCACACUGGAACUGAGACACGGUCCAGACUCCUACGGGAGGCAGCAGUAGGGAAUCUUCCGCAAUGGGCGAAAGCCUGACGGAGCAACGCCGCGUGAGUGAUGAAGGUCUUCGGAUCGUAAAACUCUGUUAUUAGGGAAGAACAUAUGUGUAAGUAAAUGUGCACAUCUUGACGGUACCUAAUCAGAAAGCCACGGCUAACUACGUG